UUCAUAUGGCACUCAAGACAUGUCACUUCGCAUACAGAGAGACUUUACCAUCAGCAAAGGCAGAGAUGUACUAGUCAUGACCCAUUUAGCUGUUCUCUGGAGAUUUUGUGUCUGCAUAUAAGAAGAAACAAGAGCAAAGAAGCUGAGAGGGAAGAAAUACUCCAAACAGACUGGAGAUGGAGCGAGUGUGGGAAACGGAUGGGGAGAAGGCUGGUGGGCUGAGUCCUGGCUGAACCUGAUGAAGAGCUGUGCAAACCAAACCAUCUCCCGUGGCUUGAUUCCUCCUGGGCCUGGGGAACAGGACCUUUGCAGGCCUUGAGGCAGUGAUGGAGACCCAGGUCCUAAUCAAGAUGGCACCAAUGAACUGCUUGGAGUAACAUACCUACUGCCAAUAUUUUAACAUCAUCUUGGAGAAUGCCUGUAGGUCCAAUGCUGAUACACUGUGCCUCUGAUAAAUCUUUGGAACUCCAAAACAGGCCUGAGUGAAAUGCUUCCCUUUCCAUCUUGCCUCCAUUUCUAACAAACUAAGAGAUGGACAUAAUGAUU